GACGAACGCUGGCGGCGUGCUUAACACAUGCAAGCCGAACGAUGAAGCCGGAGCUUGCUCUGGUGAAUUAGUGGCGAACGGGUGAGUAACACGUGAGUAACCUGCCCUUGACUCUGGGAUAACUGCUAGAAAUGGUAGCUAAUACCGGAUACGACCCUCGGAGGCAUCUCCAGGGGGUGGAAAGAAUUUCGGUCAAGGAUGGACUCGCGGCCUAUCAGCUAGUUGGUGAGGUAAUGGCUCACCAAGGCGACGACGGGUAGCCGGCCUGAGAGGGUGACCGGCCACACUGGGACGGAGACACGGCCCAGACUCCUACGGAAGGCAGCAGUGGGGAAUAUUGCACAAUGGGCGCAAGCCUGAUGCAGCAACGCCGCGUGAGGGAUGACGGCCUUCGGGUUGUAAACCUCUUUUAGUAGGGAAGAAGCGAAAGUGACGGUACCUGCAGAAAAAGCACCGGCUAACUACGUGCCAGCCGCCGCCGUAA
rnacentral:rRNA from 1 species